UUCCAUUGCAGAGCCUUUUCUAGUGUAUCAUGUUCUCAAUAGCCUUCCUAGCCAAUUCAAUCAGUUAAAGGUUGCUUAUAAUGCUCAGCAGAAUAAAUGGGAUUUAAAUGAUUUAAUUGUGGUAUGGGCCCAAGAGGAGUGUAGGAUGCGUCGUGAGACUGUUGAAACUGUGCAAUUAGCUUUUCAGCCACAACAAAACAAGGGGUCUUCUCAUAAUUAUAAGCCUAAAUUUCAAAAAGGUUAUAAGUCACACCGAAAUGAGCACAAUAAAAGAUUUGGAGGUCAGACUUCUGGUGGUUCUAAAGAAAUUAUAAUGAAUAGUGAUCAGUGUAAGUUUUGUAAAAAGAAAGGUCAUUAGCAAAAGGAUUGUUUUAAGUUUAAGACAUGGCUAGAGAAAAAGAAGAAGAAGAACUUGACAGGGGUUCGUAAGCAAAAGGAGGCCAAGUGAGAAUGAAGUGAACUUGUGUGUUGGGAAUGGAGUUCAUGUGAAGGUCGAGUUUAUAGGAGUAGUAAAGUUAUAUUUAGAUUCUGGUUUUUCUCUUGUUUUGGAGAACACAGUUUUUGUACCCACAAUGAGACGAAAUUUGAUUUCUAUAUCAAAACUUGAUAAUUCUGGUUUUUCAUUUAAGUUUGGUAAUGGAAAAGUUGAAUUGUUUUAUGAUUAUCGUCUGGUUGGAAA